rfam:Tetranychus urticae London genomic scaffold, scaffold_2
UGCUUUCAUCUUUAGUUGGUUGAAUCCGGGCCAAAUUGAUUUUGUUUAAGCACAGAAUUAUUAAAUAAUAUUUGGUCCCCUUCAACCAGCUGUAGAUAAGCAUUCAG